rnacentral:rRNA from 1 species
GAUGAACGCUAGCGGCAGGCUUAAUACAUGCAAGUCGAGGGGCAGCAUGAGUGUAGCAAUACAUUUGAUGGCGACCGGCAAACGGGUGCGGAACACGUACACAACCUUCCUAUAAGUGGGGAAUAGCCCAGAGAAAUUUGGAUUAAUACCCCGUAACAUAAUGAUGUGGCAUCACAUUAUUAUUAUAGCUUCGGCGCUUAUUGAUGGGUGUGCGGCUGAUUAGAUAGUUGGCGGGGUAACGGCCCACCAAGUCUACGAUCAGUAGCUGAUGUGGGAGCAUGAUCAGCCACACGGGCACUGAGACACGGGCCCGACUCCUACGGGUGGCAGCAGUAAGGAAUAUUGGUCAAUGGACGCAAGUCUGAACCAGCCAUGCCGCGUGAAGGAUUAAGGUCCUCUGGAUUGUAAACUUCUUUUAUCUGGGACGAAAAAAGGCUAUUCUUAGUCACUUGACGGUACCAGAUGAAUAAGCACCGGCUAACUCCGUGCCAGCCGCCGCCGUAACAC